CUCUUCCCAGGUUUCAUUCAGCUCAGCAAUGAUCUUCUCCGAUUCCUAAGGGAGGAAGUCCACAGUUCAAGUGAAGACACUUAUGAUGUGACAGGCUAGGUCUGGGAAGGACAGCAAGAUGCCCUUUGUGGGUAUGAGGCAGAAUCUAAUACAAAGGAAGAGUAACAUGAACAUCCAAAAAUGCAAGACAUUAUUCCCAACAGCCACUUCUACAAAAGAAUAAAGCCACCAAAGCUGAAGCAAUCGGAGAAAUGGUAUCUGCAGGAAGGACUCUGAUCUCCUCAAGCAAGCUUUAAGAUCCCCACCCCCAACUGGAGAAAAGGCACAUCCUCACCUCCAAAGAUGGAGGAACACCAGGAGGAAUCUGAACAAACAGGCCUUAAUAGGUACCCACUCCC